rnacentral:misc_RNA from 1 species
GAAAUGCGAUACGUAAUGUGAAUUGCAGAAUUCAGUGAAUCAUCGAGUCUUUGAACGCACAUUGCGCCCUCUGGUAUUCCGGAGGGCAUGCCUGUCCGAGCGUCAUUGCUGCCCUCAAGCACGGCUUGUGUGUUGGGCCCUGUCCUCCAUCCCCGGGGGACAGGCCCGAAAGGCAGCGGCGGCACCGCGUCCGGUCCUCGAGCGUAUGGGGCUUUGUCACCCGCUCUGUAGGCCCGGCCGGCGCCAGCCGAUCAACCACACUUCUUUCCAGGUUGACCUCGGAUCAGGUAGGGAUACCCGCUGAACUUAA